rnacentral:rRNA from 1 species
AGGACGAACGCUGGCGGCGUGCCUAACACAUGCAAGUCGAACGCGCUCCAUUCGGUAGCAAUACUGAUGAAGAGCGAGUGGCGAACGGGUGAGUAGCACGUGAGCAACCUGCCCCGAAGACCGGGACAACACCGGGAAACCGGUGCUAAUACCGGAUAUCCCUAUCGGACCGCAUGAUCUGAUAAGGAAAUGGAUUCCGCUUCGGGAGGGGCUCGCGGCCUAUCAGCUAGUUGGUGAGGUAACGGCCCACCAAGGCAUCGACGGGUAGCUGGUCUGAGAGGACGAUCAGCCACACUGGGACUGAGACACGGCCCAGACUCCUACGGGAGGCAGCAGUGGGGAAUCUUGCGCAAUGGGCGAAAGCCUGACGCAGCAACGCCGCGUGGAGGACGAAGGCUUUCUGAGUUGUAAACUCCUUUCAGCAGGGACGAUAGUGACGGUACCUGCAGAAGAGCACCGGCCAACUACGUGCCAGCAGCCGCGGUAA